ensembl:misc_RNA 7SK 7SK RNA
AGAUGUGAGGGCGAUCUGGCUGCUACAUCUGUCACCCCAUUGAUCGCCAGGGUUGAUUCGGCUGAUCUGGCUGGCUAGGCGGGUGUCCCCUUCCUCCUUUACCGCUCCAUGUGUCCCGAAGCCGCGUGAUGGGUCGAAGAGGAUGACCUUGCCCGAACAGAAUCUCCAAACAAGCUCUCAAAAAACAACAGACAAUUAAAAACAUAUUCUGAGUU